rnacentral:rRNA from 1 species
AGCUCCAAUAGCGUAUAUUAAAGUUGUUGCAGUUAAAAAGCUCGUAGUUGAAUUUUGGGUCAGACCGGUCGGUCCGCUGAACGGCGAGUACUGACUGGUUUGGCCUUCCUUCUGGCUAUCAGGUCUGCCUUUAAACGGGUGGGCCUGAGAACCAGGACUUUUACUUUGAAAAAAUUAGAGUGUUCAAAGCAAGCUUACGCUUGAAUACAUUAGCAUGGAAUAAUAAAAUAGGAUUUUGGUUCUAUUUUGUUGGUUUCUAGGACCAAGGUAAUGAUUAAUAGGGACAGUUGGGGACAUUAGUAUUUCAGUGCUAGAGGUGAAAUUCUUGGAUUUCUGAAAGACUAACUACUGCGAAAGCAUUUGUCAAGGAUGUUUUCA